UGAGCUGCACUCUACAUCGAUGGGUAU
rnacentral:piRNA from 1 species